AGAGUUUGAUCCUGGCUCAGAAUGAACGCUGGCGGCGUGCCUAACACAUGCAAGUCGGAUGUGCCCGCAAGGGUGCAUGGCAGACGGGUGAGUAACGCGUGGGGAAUCUACCUCUUUGUGGGGAAUAACGCUCCGAAAGGAGUGGUAAUACCGCAUGAGAUCCAUGGCUGGAAUGUUGUGGAUGAAACCUGGGGACCUUCGGGCCUGGGGCAAGGAGAGGAUCCUGCGUCUGAUUAGCUAGUUGGUGAGGUAACGGCCCACCAAGGCAACGAUCAGUAGCCGGCCUGAGAGGGUGAUCGGCCACACUGGAACUGAGACACGGUCCAGACUCCUACGGGAGGCAGCAGUGGGGAAUUUUGCGCGAAUGGGCGAAAGCCUGACGCGGCAACGCCGCGUGGGUGAUGAAGGUCUUCGGAU
rnacentral:rRNA from 1 species